rnacentral:piRNA from 1 species
UGCCAACAGUCUGUCUAGAAUGCUUUUGGCCU